UUAGGGAUAGUUUAGUUGGUAAAGCAUAAGACUUAAUUUCAGGGUUGUGGGUUCAAGCCCCACAUUGGGCAAAA